AACUAAGUUUGUUAUUGGUAUGAGCUUUCAUGUGCAUGCACACUUCUUCAGAUAUGAAGAUGUAUCUUUUCUUCAGAGAUGCAUCUGAAGAAGUGUGCAUGCACACAAAAGCUCGUACCAAUAACAAACUUAGUUGG
rnacentral:miRNA from 1 species